rnacentral:rRNA from 1 species
GACGAACGCUGGCGGCGUGCCUAAUACAUGCAAGUCGAGCGGACUUUCAAGAAGCUUGCUUUUUGAAAGUUAGCGGCGGACGGGUGAGUAACACGUGGGCAACCUGCCUGCAAGACGGGGAUAACUCCGGGAAACCGGGGCUAAUACCGGAUAAUAUCUUCCUUCGCAUGAAGGAAGGUUGAAAGGCGGCGCAAGCUGCCGCUUGCAGAUGGGCCCGCGGCGCAUUAGCUAGUUGGUGAGGUAACGGCCCACCAAGGCGACGAUGCGUAGCCGACCUGAGAGGGUGAUCGGCCACACUGGGACUGAGACACGGCCCAGACUCCUACGGGAGGCAGCAGUAGGGAAUCUUCCGCAAUGGACGAAAGUCUGACGGAGCAACGCCGCGUGAGCGAAGAAGGUCUUCGGAUCGUAAAGCUCUGUUGUCAGGGAAGAACAAGUACCGUUCGAACAGGGCGGUACCUUGACGGUACCUGACCAGAAAGCCACGGCUAACUACGUG